rnacentral:rRNA from 1 species
ACGAACGCUGGCGGCGUGCUUAACACAUGCAAGUCGAACGGAAAGGCCCUGCUUUUGUGGGGUGCUCGAGUGGCGAACGGGUGAGUAACACGUGAGUAACCUGCCCUUGACUUUGGGAUAACUUCAGGAAACUGGGGCUAAUACCGGAUAGGAGCUCCUGCUGCAUGGUGGGGGUUGGAAAGUUUCGGCGGUUGGGGAUGGACUCGCGGCUUAUCAGCUUGUUGGUGGGGUAGUGGCUUACCAAGGCUUUGACGGGUAGCCGGCCUGAGGAGGGGACCGGCCACAUGUGGGAUGAAGAAAGGACCGGACUCACAAAGGAGGGCAGGAGGGGGGAAUAUAGCACAAGGGGGGAGAGCGUAGCACAGAAACGCCGUGGGAGGAUAAACGCCUUUCGUGUUGAAAACCGUUGUCGCAUGGCAGAAAGGGGGAGGAGGGUAAGGGGGAAGAGAAAGACGGGCAAAGUCGGUC